CUCGUCUUCUGUCCAAGUUGGUCGCUUCCCUGCACCAAAGUGAGCAGUAGCCAACAUGUCAGGAUGGGAGUCCUAUUACAAAACCGAGGGCGAUGAAGAAGCAGAAGAACAAGAAGAGGAUAACCUUGAAGCAAGUGGAGACUACAAAUAUUCAGGAAGAGAUAGUUUGAUUUUUUUGGUUGAUGCCUCCAGGGCUAUGUUUGAAUCUCAAAGUGAAGAUGAGUUGACUCCUUUUGACAUGACCAUCCAGUGUAUCCAAAGUGUGUACAUCAGUAAGACCAUAAGCAGUGAUCAAGAUCUCUUGGCAGUGGUGUUCUAUGGUACUGAGAAAGACAAAAAUGCAGUGAAUUUUAAAAAUAUUUACGUCUUACAGGAGUUGGAUAAUCCAGGUGCAAAACGAAUUCUAGAGCUUGACCAGUUUAAGGGGCAGCAGGGACAGAAACGUUUCCAAGAGCUGAUGGGCCACGGAUCUAACUACUCACUCAGUGAAGUGCUGUGGGUCUGUGCCAACCUCUUUAGUGAUGUCCAGUUCAAGAUGAGUCAUAAGAGGAUCAUGCUUUUCACCAAUGAAGACAACCCCCAUGGCAAUGACAGUGCCAAAGUCAGCCGGGCCAGGACCAAAGCCAGUGAUCUCCGAGAUACAGGCAUCUUCCUUGACUUGAUGCACCUGAAGAAACCUGGGGGCUUUGACAUAUCCUUGUUCUACAGAGAUAUUAUCAGCAUAGCAGAGGAUGAGGACCUCAGGGUUCACUUUGAGGAAUCCAGCAAGCUAGAAGACCUGUUGCGGAAGGUUCGCGCCAAGGAGACCAGGAAGCGAGCACUUAGCAGGUUAAAGCUGAAGCUCAACAAAGAUAUAGUGAUCUCUGUUGGCAUUUAUAAUCUGGUCCAGAAGGCUCUCAAGCCUCCUCCAAUAAAGCUCUAUUGGGAAACAAAUGAACCAGUGAAAACCAAGACCUGGACAUUUAAUACAAGUACAGGUGGUUUGCUUCUGCCUAGCGAUACCAAGAGGUCGCAGAUCUAUGGGAGUCGUCAGAUUAUACUGGAGAAAGAGGAAACAGAAGAGCUAAAAUGAUUUGAUGAUCCAGGUUUGAUGCUCAUGGGCUUCAAGCCCUUGGUAAUGUUGAAGAAGCACCAUUACCUGAGACCCUCCCUGUUCGUGUACCCAGAGGAGUCUCUGGUGAUUGGGAGCUCAACCCUGUUCAGUGCUCUGCUCAUCAAGUGUCUGGAGAAGGAGGUUGCAGCAUUGUGCAGAUACACACCCCGGAGGAACAUCCCCCCUUAUUUUGUGGCUUUGGUUCCACAGGAUGAGGAGUUGGAUGACCAGAAAAUUCAGGUCACUCCUCCAGGCUUUCAGCUGGUCUUUUUACCAUUUGCUGAUGAUAAAAGGAAGAUGCCCUUUACUGAAAAAAUCAUGGCAACUCCAGAGCAGGUGGACAAGAUGAAGGUAUUGUUGAGAAGCUCUGCUUCACAUACAGAAGUGACAGCUUUGAGAACCCCGUGCUGCAGCAGCACUUCAAGAACCUGGAGGCCUUGGCCUUGGAUUUGAUGGAGCCUGAAUAAGCAGUGGACCUGACAUUGCCCAAGGUUGAAGCAAUGAAUUAAAGACUGGGUUCCCUGGUGGAUGAAUUUAAGGACCUGGUUUACCCUCCAGAUUACAAUCCUGAAGGGAAAGUUACCAAGAGAAAACACGAUAAUGAAGGUUCCGGAAGCAAAAGGCCCAAGGUGGAGUAUUCAGAAGAAGAGCUGAAGACCCACAUCAGCAAGGGCACACUGGGCAAGCUCAUUGUGCCCAUGCUGAAAGAGGCUUGCCGGGCAUACGGGCUGAAGAGUGGGCUGAAGAAGCAGGAGCUGCUGGAAGCCCUCAUCAAGCACUUCCAGGACUGACCAGAGGCCGUACACACAGCCAUCCUUCCACAGUGUGGCCAGGCUGCCUGGCCUUGUUCUCAGCCAGUUAAAAUGUGUUUCUGCUGAGCUAGAAAGAGUCUACCCGACAGAAGUCGAGGGACUUUAUGUUUUUGAGGCUUUCUGUUGCCAUGGUGAUGGUGUAGCCCUCCUACUUUGCUGUUCCUUACUUUACUGCCUGAAUAAAGAGCCCUAAGUUUGUACUA